UACCAUUUUGUCUAUUGAGGCAGAAGAGAAAAUGCAUGGGCCAGAUCCUAAAAGAACUAUCUGCACAGAACUCUCAUUGAUGAGGCCCUAAGCAGGAAAAUCAGAUGCUGAGAAAAAGAGCUUUAUAAACAAGAGGAUUGAGCAGCAUCGUGAGACAGGACUUUGCCCUCUCUGAGGAAAGCAGUGUUUAGAAGCUGAAUGUACAAUCUGCAGAUGGAUAUGAACAGGCACAGGGGGCUGCUCACAUGGAUCCCUAUGCAGAAUACAACAUACCAAUGAGAGAACACCUGGGCAAAAGUCUCUACCACCAUUGAAGAUAGAGUGAAGUGACAGAAACCAUCCCUAUUCAAUCAGCCAUGUACCUGAAAGGAGAGAAGAGGAAUCCUGAUCGCUACAUUUGACUCUGUCAACCAUAUAAAGCUACUCUUGAAAUUUCAUCCAUCAGGCAAGAUGGAGGAGAUGAAGAUGGAUUGAUUGAACGGGAACUGCUAACGCCAUGUGGAUCCUUUUCUUCCUCUUUGGGGU